CUUGGCUAAGGUAUCUUGGCUAAGGUGUCUUGGCUAAUGUGUCUCGGCUAAUGUGUCUCGGCUAAGGUGUCUUGGCUAAGGUGUCUAAGCUAAGGUGUCUUGGCUAAUGUGUUUUGGCUAAGGUGUCUUGGCUAAUGUGUCUUGGCUAAUGUGUCUUGGCUAAUGUGUCUUGGCUAAGGUGUCUAAGCUAAGGUGUCUUGGCUAAGGUGUCUUGGCUAAUGUGUCUUGGCUAAGGUGUCUAAGCUAAGGUGUCUUGGUUUAUGUGUUUUUUCUACGGUGUCUUGGCUAAGGUGUCUUGGCUAAGGUGUCUUGGCUAAUGUGUCUUGGCUAAGGUGUCUAAGCUAAGGUGUCUUGGUUAAUGUGUUUUUUCUACGGUGUCUUGGCUUAUGUGUUUUGGCUAAGGUGUCUUGGCUAAUGUGUCUUGGCUAAGGUGUCUUGGCUAAGGUAUCUUGGCUAAGCUGUCUUGGCUAAUGUGUCUCGGCUAAGGUGUCUUGGCUAAGGUGUCUUGGCUAAUGUGUCUUGGCUAAGGUGUCUUGGCUAAGGUGUCUUGGCUAAGGUGUCUUGGCUAAGGAGUCUUGGCUAAUGUGUCUUGGCUAAUGUGUCUUGGCUAAGGUGUCUUGGCAAUGGUGUCUUGGCUAAGGUGUCUUGGCUAAGGUGUCUUGGCUAAUGUGUCUUGGCUAAGGUGUCUUGGCUAAGGUGUCUUGGCUAAGGUGUCUUGGCUAAGGAGUCUUGGCUAAGGUGUCUUGGCUAAGGUGUCUUGGCUAAGGUGUCUUGGCUAAGGUGUCUUGGCUAAGGUGUCUUGGCUAAGGUGUCUCGGCUAAGGUGUCUUGGCUAAUGUGUCUUGGCUAAGGUGUCUUGGCUAAUGUGUCUCGGCUAAGGUGUCUUGGCUAAUGUGUCUUGGCUAAGGUGUCUUGGCUAAGGUGUCUUGGCUAAGGUGUCUCGGCUAAAGUGUCUUGGCUAAGGUGUCUUGGCUAAGGUGUUUUGCCUUAUGUGUCUUGGCUAAGGUGUCUUGGCUAAGGUGUCUUGGCUAAUGUGUCUUGGCUAAUGUGUCUUGGCUAAUGUGUCUUGGCUAAGGUGUCUAAGCUAAGGUGUCUUGGCUAAGGUGUCUUGGCUAAUGUGUCUUGGCUAAUGUGUCUCGGCUAAGGUGUCUUGGCUAAGGUGUCUUGGCUAAUGUGUCUCGGCUAAGGUGUCUUGGCUAAGGUGUCUUGGCUAAUGUGUCUCGGCUAAUGUGUCUUGGCUAAGGUGUUUUGCCUUAUGUGUCUUGGCUAAGGUGUCUUGGCUAAGGUGUCUUGGCUAAGGUGUCUUGGCUAAGGUGUCUUGGCUAAUGUGUCUCGGCUAAGGUGUCUUGGCUAAUGUGUCUUGGCUAAGGUGUCUUGGCUAAGGUGUCUUGGCUAAGGUGUCUUGGCUAAGGUGUCUUGGCUAAUGUGUCUCGGCUAAGGUGUCUUGGCUAAGGUGUCUUGGCUAAGGUGUCUUGGCUAAUGUGUCUUGGCUAAGGUGUCUAAGCUAAGGUGUCUUGGUUUAUGUGUUUUUUCUACGGUGUCUUGGCUUAUGUGUCUUGGCUAAGGUGUCUUGGCUAAGGUGUCUUGGCUAAUGUGUCUUGGCUAAAGUGUCUUGGCUAAGGUGUCUUGGCUAAUGUGUCUCGGCUAAGGUGUCUUGGCUAAGGUGUCUUGGCUAAUGUGUCUUGGCUAAUGUGUCUCGGCUAAUGCGUCUCGGCUAUGGUGUCUUGGCUAAUGUGUCUUGGCUAAUGUGUCUUGGCUAAGGUGUCUAAGCUAAGGUGUCUCGGCUAAUGUGUCUUGGCUAAUGUGUCUUGGCUAAGGUGUCUUGGCUAAUGUGUCUUGGCUAAGGUGUCUUGGCUAAUGUUUCUUGGCUAAGGUGUCUUGGCUAAUGUGUCUUGGCUAAUGUGUCUUGGCUAAUGUGUCUUGGCUAAGGUGUCUUGGCUAAUGUGUCUUGGCUAAGGUGUCUUGGCUUAUGUGUCUUGGCUAAUGUGUCUUGGCUAAGGUGUCUUGGCUAAGGUGUCUUGGCUAAUGUGUCUUGGCUAAUAUGUCUUGGCUAAGGUGUCUUGGCUAAUGUGUCUUGGCUAAGGUGUCUUGGCUAAGGUGACCUGGCUAAGGUGACCUGACUCAGGUGUCUUGGCUAAGGUGUCUUGGCUAAUGUGUCUUGGCUAAUGUGUCUUGGCUAACGUGUCUCGGCUAAUGUGUCUCGGCUAAUGUGGCUCGGCUAAUGUGUCUUGGCUAAUGUGUCUUGGCUAAGGCGUCUUGGCUAAGGUGUCUUGGCCAAUGUGUCUUGGCUAAGGUGUCUUGGCUAAUGUGUCUUGGCUAAUGUGUCUUGGCUAAGUUGUCUUGGCUAAGGUGUCUUGGCUAAUGUGUCUUGGCUAAUGUGUCUUGGCUAAGGUGUCUUGGUUAAUGUGUCUCGGCUAAUGUGUCUUGGCUAAUGUGUCUUGGCUAAGGUGUCUUGGCUAAUGUGUCUUGGCUAAGGUGUCUUGGCUAAGGUGUCUUGGCUAAGGUGUCUUGGCUAAUGUGUCUUGGCUAAUGUGUCUUGGCUAAUGUGUCUCGGCUAAAGUGUCUUGGCUAAUGUGUCUUGGCUAAGGUGUCUUGGCUAAGGUGUCUUGGCUAAGGUGUCUUGGCUAAGGUGUCUUGGCUAAGGUGUCUUGGCUAAUGUGUCUCGGCUAAUGUGUCUUGGCUAAUGUGUCUUGGCUAAGGUGUCUUUACUAAUGUGUCUUGGCUAAGUUGUCUUGGCUAAGGUGUCUUGGCUAAUGUGUCUUGGCUAAAGUGUCUUUGCUAAUGUGUCUUGGCUAAUGUGUCUUGGCUAAUGUGUCUUGGCUAAGGUGUCUUGGCUAUUGUGUCUUGGCUAAGGUGUCUUGGCUAAGGUGUCUUGGCUAAGGUGUCUUGGCUAAGGUGUCUUGGCUAAGGUGUCUUGGCUAAGGUGUCUUGGCUAAUGUGUCUCGGCUAAUGUGUCUUGGCUAAUGUGUCUUGGCUAAGGUGUCUUGGCUAAUGUGUCUUGGCUAAUGUGUCUUGGCUAAGGUGUCUUGGCUAAUGUGUCUUGGCUAAGGUGUCUUGGCUAAUGUGUCUUGGCUAAGGUGUCUUGGCUAAGGUGUCUUGGCUAAGGUGUCUUGGCUAAGGUGUCUUGGCUAAUGUGUCUCGGCUAAGGUGUCUUGGCUAAGGUGUCUUGGCUAAGAUGUCUUGGCUAAGGUGUCUUGGCUAAUGUGUCUCGGCUAAGGUGUCUUGGCUAAGGUGUCUUGGCUAAGGUGUCUUGGCUAAUGUGUCUCGGCUAAGGUGUCUUGGCUAAGGUGUCUUGGCUAAGGUGUCUUGGCUAAGGUGUCUUGGCUAAUGUGUCUCGGCUAAUGCGUCUUGGCUAAGGUGUCUUGGCUGAGGUGUCUUGGCUAAUGUGUCUUGGCUAAUGUGUCUUGGCUAAGGUGUCUUGGCUAAUGUGUCUUGGCUAAGGUGUCUUGGCUAAUGUGUCUUGGCUAAGGUGUCUUGGCUAAGGUGUCUUGGCUAAGGUGUCUUGGCUAAGGUGUCUUGGCUAAUGUGUCUCGGCUAAGGUGUCUUGGCUAAGGUGUCUUGGCUAAGAUGUCUUGGCUAAGGUGUCUUGGCUAAUGUGUCUCGGCUAAGGUGUCUUGGCUAAGGUGUCUUGGCUAAGGUGUCUUGGCUAAUGUGUCUCGGCUAAGGUGUCUUGGCUAAGGUGUCUUGGCUAAUGUGUCUCGGCUAAAGUGUCUUGGCUAAGGUGUCUUGGCUAAGGUGUCUUGGCUAAGGUGUCUUGGCUAAGGUGUCUUGGCUAAUGUGUCUUGGCUAAGGUGUCUUGGCUAAUGUGUCUUGGCUAAGUUGUCUUGGCUAAGGUGUCUUGGCUAAUGUGUCUUGGCUAAAGUGUCUUUGCUAAGGUGUCUUGGCUAAUGUGUCUUGGCUAAGGUGUCUUGGCUAAUGUGUCUUGGCUAAGGUGUCUUGGCUUAUGUGUCUUGGCUAAGGUGUCUUGGCUAAGGUGUCUUGGCUAAGGUGUCUUGGCUAAUGUGUCUCGGCUAAGAUGUCUUGGCUAAUGUGUCUCGG